CACCUCCCCCAGGAGGAUUUGCCUUCCCCACGAAGGCAGACCACUUCCUCGCCUCUUCCAUCCCUUCCCUCGCCGCAACCACUCCCUGUUGUUCUCCGCCGCCUCCCCGCCCCGCACGCCGCACCCCCUCCCCCUCAUCUCUGACCCAUGGUGAAGCAACACCGCGUCCCUCACCGAGCUGCACGCCAUCUGGCUGGAAGCCAGAGCUCGAGCCCGACGCCUCCAGCGCCCCCGACGAUUUCCGUGUGCAUCCGGUCUUUAGGUUCUGCAGAUGUCGUUUUUGCUCAUGUGUUGCGUUGUAACCCCACUUUUGUGGCAGGCUGCCAAUCUUUUCGGAUGUAGUUGGCCAGCGGGCUCGAUUCUGAACGAGAUAAGCGAUGUGGGUAGCCGACGAGGAGACAAGAUUCGUCAGUGCCGGCGCAUUUGGAUGGCGGCGGCACCACUGCGUAAGAUGCCAAUAGCAGGGAUAGCGAGCUGGCGCAGUCCGAAGAGUGCAGUGAAGCCGGAUCCGCAAGCGUCCAGGAGGAUUAAAUCGAGCAAUAGGAGGAUGGGAGCUGAGGCCUGAUCGGGAUGCAGCGCCCGUCCCGGUCCCUGCUGCCGCCGGAGAGGCGAGGAUGCCGUCGGCCGCGCCAUAGCAGCUCGGGGGUUCCAUGAACAGCGGGGCGACCUCCGCCGUCGCCACGCUGCUGCACGGCUCCACACCCCCAGCAUGAAUGGGGAUGGGUAUGACAGCAACGACAGCUACAACGCCACGCGGCCUGUGAGUACGACUACCUGUUCUCCUGUAGGCUUUAGCUACUAUGUUUUGUUCUGUUUGACGGAGUACUACUACUUUGUGUACCUGUUUUGAUUUUGGCAUAACGAUUAGAGUAAAUAGUGUUUUGCUGCUAAGCAUGGCAUGUUUGUUCUCUCAGGUUGUGAGUUUUCUAAUGUUGUUUCAUAACGAAAAAGUUUUCCCAGACUGGUGGAAAGAGGAGAAAGGUUGGGGUUCAGACGGAUACUUGUUUAGUUUUUCAGGGUUAAAGUCACUAUUCUAGCUUCUUGCUGUUGCAGGUUGUUGGCCUGCCCAUGCUACUAGAGCUGUCAUGGGUGCUUUGUUUUGCAGGUUGGAUUCCGGAGGAUCGACAACCUGCAGGCCGGCUGGAUCAUGUGCCCGCCUGUUCUUAAUUUGAAACUCGGUGGUUGAUUCAUUGGAAUCGUUACCAAGCCCACACUCUCCUGUACCUAAUUGUCAUUGUCACCUUGGUGGUUGAUUCAUGGGAAUCUUUACCAAGCCGGUGAGGAUGACUUGUGAGUUUCGAUGAUGAUCCCUUCGUAAAUGAAUUUGACUGAAUCAAAUCGAUCUCUACUUUCAAGGAUGUUCAUAGUAACAAAGGCAUUUUUGGAAUCAUACCUCGACUGUAAGUAUCAUUUAUGUUUUUUCUUGGCUGAAGUAUCAUUUAUGUUUUUAUAAGUAAGCCUGUUAUGCAUGAUGUGUUUCCUGUUAUGUGCAAGUUUUAUUUUACUGCCCCGCAAAAAAAAAGUUUUAUUUUACUGUUAUCUCUUGGUUGGGAAUACAUGCAAAUGAAGUUACUAGCUUUCCUUUUUCUGGUCAUAAAUUAAACCAUGCACUUCACUUAUUAUUGCUAGAUUGGAUAAGUUGGUGUUAUUAUACACAGAAACCAUAAUAUUUCAUAGUUAAGCUAUUCUACUGCGGUGACUGGUAACUGGCGAAGAUAUCAUUUCAUAAUCAGGAUGUAGCAUGUGUUCCUAAAGCUAUUGACUUGGUAGCCAGAGAACUCACUUCCCCGCGACUCCUGGUCAUGGCCUUAACUCUCCUAUGUUUGUUCAUCAGUCAUCAAGUAUUUUAUAUAUUGCAGCUUGAAACUAGUGUCGUUUAAGAAUUUGUUUUCACAAUGACAAGAAACUUCUAACUCGGUGUUUCGUUUUCAUCUACUGCACUAUAUAUUCGUCUUGCAUUUUACAGUUAAAUUCAUCCACUGCAGUAUUGACUAAUUUCUCUUACCACAGGACUACAUUUCUUCAAACUAUUCUGGUUUUUAGUCCUUGAGCUACUCCCAAUAGUAGAUCCAUAAACUUUGUUAUCCUUAUGUGAAAUAUAUUACUGACUACUUGGAAAAUUAGAUAGGGCUUUGGUACUGCCAUUUUUGUACCCCACACAAACUCUACAACACUAAGGCCAAAUUUUUAAUAUUGAUCAUUUGUGUAUUUUUUCUUCAUGUAUAAUUUCCAGUGCUGACAGCAUAAACUAAUCUGAUCCAUCAAGCAUUUAUAAAAUACCAUGGGAAUAUUUCAUCAAGCACCACCAAACUGACAAUUCUUCACUUGACACUUUCAAUGCUUGUCAUUGAGUGUAUGAUUGUUUCUAACCGAAUAAGAUUUGCUUUUCAUCCACUGCAGCUUAUGAUAAUCUUGUAAUCUACAACCUAAAUUCUAUUAUUGUUUGCUUUACUUUCAACUUUUAUUGUUUACUUUAUCUCACUUAGUGCAAUCUUCUUCUGUUUAGCUCUGCUUUUCUGUCAAACCUCACUUAACAUUUUAUUCUAACCACACAAUUUGAGAGCAUCUCCUUUAUUUAGCUCGGCGGGAUCAAACACCACCAUCCUCGCCGAAGUCCAACCAGCACCACGCAACUAAUGGUGCUGCCGGCAUGAUGAUGCCCUCCUCCGUGCUGAUCUAGCUUUUCGACCUGUCAUUCCGGGCAUCUGCUUUUGAUGUGCUAUUUGCUCUCUUUUCAUAAGUGUAGCUUACAUGAUCAGUUUUGUACGUGCACUAUACUUCUGUGUUGUAUCUUUGUUUUUCAAGAAGCGGCAGCAUGCUCCUGUCAGUGUUAUUUUAUUGCUAUCCAUUGGCAUGUGCUAAGAGAAGUGAAAAGGGUGUAUAUGCAUGUACCAAUGCUAAGUAAUUUAGCUGAUUUCAUCAAUUCAGCAACAUUUGUCA